rnacentral:lncRNA from 1 species
UGAGAAAAAGGUCCAGAUUAAGGGGAUUGAACAAGCAAUUCUUCCACAAUCACAAUACCAACGGGUUAAUAUUCAAGAUAUACUACUGAUGCCGAUUUCAGAGGUUACAGAUAAGUAGUUUUAUGAAUUAGGUAUCAACCAUUAACACCAGUCGUAUCUGUAUAAUGUACUCGAGCAUGCACUUGAGAGUCAAGAGUUUUGGAGGCAAAUUGUUUCUGAGAAAAGGUGGUUAGUUCCCAUAACUAUGCAAAGUGUAGAUAUGACAAAAGGUCCAGAUUAAGGAGAUUGAACGAGCAAUUCUUCCACAAUGAUGUAUAAUUGAAUAACACUUCAUCUGCAUCAUGAUGUAGAUCCCACUGUUAUAUUUGUUGUAUGUGGUUGGGUUACCUUCUGCAAAUGAGAGGCGAAAGGAGGGAAAAUUGUAAUAAACAUUGGAGGACUUUGACAUUGCACUUGCAAACACCGUCUGUAGCAGAAGCAUCUAAAUCCAACAAAAUAUAUAAAAAGUUAGCACAUAACGCAACCGAAAUCCGACAAUUACUAACAAAGGCCUUACGGUGGCUCUUGCUAUCUCAAUUCGUCUAUUCAAUGAUGUCAAUUCCGGCACAAAAUCCCACAACUUGGCAAUUUUCUCCUUUAGUUUCAUAACCAACAAAAAUAUAUGGUUUGUGAUUUCAUCAUGCAACGGGAUGAAAAUCUGCAAAAGCACAAGAAAUUAUACACAUGACAAGCAACGUAAUAUCAAUGUGAUGAAUUAACCCUUAAUUACCUAAACACAAUGCUUUAAUCGCCUAUGGAACCUCUGCAACCGACAAUGAACAAUUGUUGAUGCCACUGAAACAGGGACAACAGAUGGAUUCUCAUUUAACUUGGCUUGUUCCUAUUCAUGAAGACAGUAACAUAGCAUUCAUUAUUAUCAUUGUUUGUAUUUAGGUACAAUAGCAGAGUUAUUAUUCCUAAUGUGAUUUCUUUAUACCCCAAAGAAAGUAGGCAAGAACCAUGAGUCGGAGUUGGUUUGACACAAGUACGCCGCCCAAAUGUUUAUGGCCUGAAUCAUUUUCAGUCAUCUCACAUAGUUAAGAUUACGACCAUAUAAUGUAUGUGCAAUACUAGCUUAGAAGAAAUUGGCACGGAUAAUUCAUUACCUUUGAAGAAAUUGAGACGCUCGGGCAAAGACAUUGGAUAUCCUCAAGGGACACCCCAAAAUCCCCACCGCGGGCAACUUCUUCCCUGUAUUAAUCAAAUGCACUGGUCAAAAACAAUAAUGCUCUUCUGCGGUCACAAUAUCAACCAAAACUCAAAUAAAUUAUUGAAAACAGAAGCACAGAAGCUUCAUAUAGCAUUGAAUGACCAACUGAAAAUCCUUAAUUCAGGUCACAAAACUUAUAAUGUCUUUACUGACCUGGACUCAUGUCCUCCUUUCCUUGGCUUCCCAAAUAAGAACUUUAAGACCUUAGAAUCCUUCCAAAUAAGAACUAAGCAUCAGUCUAAAUACAUAGACGUAGUAGCAUCAAAAAGUCUUCUAACCCAGUAAAACCCAGACUCUCGAAUUGAAAAAAAAUCUUCCAGUUCAACUCCCACAAACCAAUUCAACCCAACAUUCAAAUAAUAGUAAUUAUCAGGGAGAGAAGAAUAACUUAAUCUUACAACUGAAGAGAGAGAGAGAGAGAGAGAGAGAGAGAGAGAGAGAGAGAGAGAGAGAGAGUAGACGAGACNNNNNNNNNNNNNNNNNNNNAAAAUCUGAAAAUUUGAAUGUCAAGUUAACUCUAAAAAUCUAGAUUACACAGAGUGAAACUGAAAGAGUACUCCCCACGAAAACAAGUAUAAUAUUUACCUUUCUUACCUCUCUCUCUUUUUGUGGAGGAAUCUCUGAGUGGGUUUUGCAGAAACAAGGCAGUGCUCCCGCUCAACCUGACCCUUGCAAUUGAAAAUAGGGGAACGAAUGGUGGGUUCGUUCUCUUGAAGCUUGGAAUUUGAGCAAAUGACUGCAAUUCUCGAUCGGGAGUCAGGAAAGAUUCGUACCCUGAUUUGUAGUCGGUGUAGAUUUAACGGUAAUUCGGAUACCGCGUGGGUUUUUGAGGUUUGAAUCGGAGAUUUCGAAUCUCUUCGUCGGAGCCGCCGUCGUGGGAUUAGGCCGGAGAGCAAGAAAGGUUUGGAUUUUCUUUUUAGGUUUGGGUCGACUGCCUACAUCCCACAGUGAUAUAAGGUAAUUUUGUUUUUACUGCUGUUUCUUCAUCUGACUAACUAACCGAUACGCUCCGUCUUACUAAGUCUGUUAACAGACGUUAGACCCACAUUAAAGGUUCAAGUGCCCCAUGGUGCACUGAAUCCGCUCCGCAUGAAAGAUUAGAUUAGUUUUGCUACGAUACUCUCGCGGACGUCGGUUUGCAUACCAAAUAGGUGGGUGUGUUACUAAUUUACUAACCUGAUUCGAAUAACGUAAAUAAAGGUGACUUGCUAUCUCACUACCAAUCCAGAAAAAAAAAUACAUAAAAUUCGCAAUCAACCGACAACCGGUAAAUUCAGGUGGUGUAAUUUCUUUGAAAUUAAUAAUAAUAAUCCAGUAUCGUAAUGGUAAAAGUGUAAAACCAACUCCCAGCUAGGCUGGGUUCCAAAAAGAAAUGGUAAAACCAAAUCAGUAUGAAGUUCAUUUGUGAAGGUCCUAGGGGGGGGGUGGGGGGGGGGGGUGAAUAGGUCUUUAUUACUUUUUCGUCCGAUUCCGUUCACAAGGAUAGCAAACAUUUAGCUAUCCUGAUAACAUGGAGACGUAGUAAUAAAUAAAAGAACAAGUACUGGAAAGUAAAAGAAAUAACACCAGUACGUUUUUUAUUCGCAGAAACCUUGCACCAGGGAGAAAAACUGCGUGCCCCUAACUCUUGAGGGACAAACCUUUCCACUAUGUAAAACUCACUUCUUACAAGAUUAUAGUCUAGGGAUACAACGACGAUUUGCAAUCCUGCCUAGUCUACCCACUAGUCUAGAUCUAUCUCUCCUGUCUCUGAGUGACUCACCUCACUCCUCACAAGAUUAUNNNNNNNNNNNNNNNNNNNNUGGGUUGGAAGAACAACACAACCCUAGACUAACUUGGAGCUCAAGCACGAUGAAAAAUGUUUUGCUAAAAGAGAUUUGAAAUUCAAAUACUGAAAAGCUGAAGCAAAACCAUUUAAAUCUGCACGAAGUCAGACUCAGAGAUUAUGAUAGAUACAACAGGGGUAUCCACCAAAUCUGGAUAGCAAGCAGAGCUGCCAUCCUGAAUGAAUGUGAUGCACAUGCAUGAACUACCUGAUGUACAUGAGAUAAAAACAAAUAGCCAGCUAAUAUAUUAGUUUGUGUAUCACAAACCUAGCUAGAGCCUCUAAGCUCUAGUCAUGUGGUCACGGGUUGAAAACACUACACAACCCUAGACUGACUUGAAGCACCAAGGCAACGACAAAUGUUUUGCUAAAGGGGAUUUGAAUUCAAACAGUGGAAUUCAAACGAAUGAUACACAAAUAGCAAAAGCAUUUAGACAUGCAUACAUAUAGACCCAAUAGAUUAGGACAGAUACACCAAGAGGUAUCAUCCGAUCUAGGAUGACAAGCAAAGCUGCCAUUCUCAGUGAAAAACAUAAGAUGCAUAUGCAUGAACUACCUGAUACACAUGAGAUCUUGACAGGUCUUCAUUCUUCACUUAUGAUAUCCUUACCAUCAGGAUAUGUAGAAUUCUCAGUGAAAAGCAUCAGAUGCAUAUACACCAGUUACCUAGGACACAUGUGAUCUUGUCAAGUCUUCAUUCUUCACUUGUGAUAUCCUUACCAUCAGGAUAUAUAAAAUAGCUUGUGUCUUGUGUUUUGAUCAUAAAAGGGAUAGCCAACAAUCCUUAUACCAACAAUUUGUCUAAUGCCGAUACGAAUAAUGUUGUUCUAUGAAUCUGCAAGGUGAGAAUCUUAUUUCAAGUUUCUUUCAAACCAAACAUGGAAAGAAACUUUAGUUCAGGGUGAACCGAAAAGGUUUCGCCCUAGAAGGCUCAAAAAGUAUGAGCGUUGCUUUGCAUUAUGUAUUCGGUUAGGCCAACAAGCCGACCAAAACGCUUCGUAAUAGUCGUUUUAGCCAAGUCGCCAUCAAGACGAGCAAAGCACUGACUUAAUCUAGAUUUCACCAUCCCAGAGUUCCUCAACAGUUCUAUAGGACCCAAAAGUGUCAUGUACAAAAAAGUCACCUUUGACUAGCCUUUCCUGCAAAUUUGGAAAACAAUGUAGUAUCAGUGACCAUCAUCACCAUCUUGAUCAAAUUACAGAACCUAAUAGGACUCCAGAAGCAACCAUGUCAUAUUAAUGAUGGGCUAUGUUUAAUAGUUAUGCCAUAACUGACNNNNNNNNNNNNNNNNNNNNUAGGCUACUUAUCUAUCAUUUUGACCUCAUCCUUUACAACUGAGACAGUCAGACUGAAGGGUAAUAUGAACAUCGUAUUUGUGGUUUAAAGAUGGCACAAACUAUUUUAAGAAAUGUAGUUUGAACACUAAAAGUAGGCAUAUUGCACAUUUCUACAAAGAAUCCCAACUGAUAAAUCACGUAUAUACUCCAGAACAAAAAUCCAAGAGACAUAACAUGCGAACGAGAUUUGAACAUGCAAUGCAUACCAGGUACAAGUCCAAAUAAUCAAGCUGCAAGUCUCCCAGGGUCUUAUCCAUAUCUUUUGGAAAAUGCAGAUUAAACCCUGAACUAAGCAUGACUUAUCUAUAUUAAAGCCCUGUGAGUGAUCUGAUCAACCAUGUGCAGACCGUCCUGAACCAAAUUCAAAAGCACCUAACAUGGGAAUAAGUUUUGAAUUUUUAAUACAUACCAAGUACAAGUCAAUAUAUUCAAGCUGCAGGUCUCUCAAAGUCCUAUCCAAUGCCUCUAGUACAUCUUCCGGUGCAUGAUCCGUACACCUGCAGACCAUCUUGCUCUUAAGUAUAUAUAUACAAUUACAAACCAGGAGGGCUUAGCAUUUAGAUCAUGAAUAAUAACUACCACUUGGUCAAUAUUUCAAUUAAUUAUCAUGAAACUUAUAACGAACCAGAGCUUGGAGGUAAUCCACAAUUCCUCGCGCUUCACCACACCAUCUUCAAACAGCUUCCUCAAAACCAAACCAAUCUACAAGAAACACAAAAUUUUAACCACCAAACCGUCUUCAAAGAAUGAAGCAAAUCACAGGUAAUUUGAACUCCCAACUCAAAAUAAAAACACAAAUCAUAGAAACCGGUAUCGGAAUAAGGCAGUCAAUUAGCUUAGAACAUGCUACACAUAUGAGCCGACUGAAGCAAUUUCAGAAAUACAUGAAGAAGAAAAAACAGUGACAAUAACAGAUCAAAUGAUAGUAAAUGUUUAGAUCUGAACAAAAGCAACUAGAGUUACCUCUUUCUCAUUGCCAUAGGCUUGAGCACAAUCAAUAUGCCUAUAUCCUGCCUGCAGUUAGAAACAUCACAACUUCACUAAGAAAGGCUUGAUCUUUGUUGUAGUUAAGUAAAAGCAUGUAAACUAAGUGAAGUUGAGUUCAGAGGGAAAGAGGAAGAAGACCUUGAUGGCGGUGGCGACGGCUUCACCGACCAAGCCGGGGCUGGACUGCCAGGUCCCUAAGCCCAAAGACGGCAUCUUGGCUCCGGUGUUCAACUCAAAGAAGCGAAUGUCGUUCGCCAUUUUCAAGUUUCAGAGAGCUGGAAGGAGAAGGAAGUCUGAGAGAGUGAUCAAGUUGGAGUUGAAUUUAGAGAGGAGAGCAAAACGGUAUACGCAAAUUGGAUAGAGAGGAGAGUUGAAUUUAGAUGGAAUCAAAUUUGCCGGGUGGCAAAUUUGAUAACCACCAAUGACCAUUGGCAAAUUUGAUUCCCGUUUGGCCAACAGGGUGACACCUGUGGCCUAACAGUUACUUUUUCACCGAAAAGGAAAAAAGAGGGAGAAGGAAGAAGAAGAUAUUUGCUGCCGGAAAUCAAAGUUUAAAUGGAUAUUUCAAUCAUGGACUUAUCCUAUUGGAUUUUAGUCAUUUAACUGAUGGCUGAUGCUGGUGAAGCUACGAAAAACAUAACUAAAAAGUUGAUCAAACUGCUUAGUACGGAGUUUUGUCAAAAGUUCGAAAUUUUGAAUCCUAACUUGUGAGAGUUUGUGACCAGUAGGUGUUAGGAGCCUCCGGAUUCAUGUGCUUGCGGUAGGAGAUUUGUUUUGACUUUGCUAGAAUACUCAUGUAGAUCUCAGUAUGAUUGUUGAGUGAGUUGGUGCGUUACUAACUUGCUAAUGUAUACCUCAUUCCUAAUAAAAAGAAAUAUGCUUUAAUGUUAAUCAAAAAGAAAAGCUUAUAUUUGUACGAUAGCCUGACACAUUUCUUUUAUAAAUAGGUGUAGUUUAAAUCUGUGACUUUCAGUUACUCGGGCAUCUACGUUCCGAUUUAGUACUGAAAAAUCAGACCAUCAUUAGGUGGUCAGUUCCCAUAACUAUGCAAAGUGUAGAUAUGAGAAAAGGUCCAGAUUAAGGGGAUUGAACAAGCAAUUCUUGCACAAUCACAAUACCAACGGGUUAAUAUUCAAGAUAUACUACUGAUGCCGAUUUCAGAGGUUACAGAUAAGUAGUUUUAUGAAUUAGGUAUCAACCAUUAACACCAGUAGUCUCUGUAUAAUGUACUCGAGCAUGCACUUGAGAGUCAAGAGUUUUGGAGGCAAAUUGUUUCUGACAUCAGCUUGAGCUCACAACUUUUCAUCCCAGAGUUCUUCAAGGGUCUUAUAUGCACCGAG